rnacentral:rRNA from 1 species
GGUAAGCGUAUACCAAAGUUGUUGCAGUUAAAACGCUCGUAGUCGGAAUUUGGCAGUUCCGGAUGUGUGCACGUCGUGUGCGCACUUCGCGGGGAUUGCUUUUGUGGUCUUGCGUAGGAUGAGGCACUUUUAUUAGUGAACGUCCUCACGCAACCACUUUUUACUGUGAGAAAAUCAGAGUGCUCAAAGCAGGCAUUUGCCGUGAAUGUAUUAGCAUGGAAUAAUAGAAUAGGACUUGGUUCUAUUUUGUUGGUUUGUUGGGACUGAGUAAUGAUUAAGAGGGACAGUUGGGGGCAUUUGUAUUUCGGUGCUAGAGGUGAAAUUCUUAGAUUACCGAAAGACAAACUGCUGCGAAAGCGUCUGCCAAGGGUGUUUUCAUUGA